rnacentral:rRNA from 1 species
UACGUAGGGUGCAAGCGUUUAAUCGGAAUUACUGGGCGUAAAGCGUGCGUAGGCGGUUGGCAAAGUCAGCUGUGAAAGCCCCGGGCUUAACCUGGGAAUGGCGGUUGAAACUAGUCGACUAGAAUCUGGCAGAGGGGGGUGGGAUUCCACGGUGUAGCAGUGGAAAUGCGUAGAGAUGUGGAGGAACACCGAUGGCGGAAGGCAGCCC